rnacentral:rRNA from 1 species
UGGGGAAUUUUGGACAAUGGGCGAAAGCCUGAUCCAGCAAUGCCGCGUGUGUGAAGAAGGCCUUCGGGUUGUAAAGCACUUUUGUCCGGAAAGAAAUCCUUGGCUCUAAUACAGUCGGGGGAUGACGGUACCGGAAGAAUAAGCACCGGCUAACUACGUGCCAGCAGCCGCGGUAAUACGUAGGGUGCAAGCGUUAAUCGGAAUUACUGGGCGUAAAGCGUGCGCAGGCGGUUUGCUAAGACCGAUGUGAAAUCCCCGGGCUCACCUGGGAACUGCAUUGGUGACUGGCAGGCUAGAGUAUGGCAGAGGGGGGUAGAAUUCCACGUGUGAGCAGUGAAAUGCGUAGAGAUGUGGAGGAAUACCGAUGGCGAAGGCAGCCCCCUGGGCCAAUACUGACGCUCAUGCACGAAAGCGU